CCUGUCCUAUAUAAACGGUCUUUUCAGAGUUGGGAGACUGACAAAAGUUGGUGCGAGUGAGUAUAGCAGCGACACAAACAAUGGAUGCAGACUACGGUAUACCUCGAGAACUUUCUGAUUUGCAAAAGCUUCGAUCUCAAUACCAGCCUGAACUUCCUCCUUGUCUUCAGGGUACUACUGUCCGGGUAGAGCUCCGUGAUGCAACCACUGCGGCAGAUCCUUCUGGUGAACACACAAUUAAACGGUUCUUCCCACACACUUAUGGUCAGCCGUUAGCCCAUUUUCUUAGGGCAACUGCCAAGGUCCCUGAUGCUCAGAUAAUUACUGAACAUCCUGUAAUUAGGGUUGGGGUGCUAUUUUGUGGUAGACAAUCUCCUGGAGGACACAAUGUGCUAUGGGGUCUUCAUGAUGCUCUUAAGGUUCACAACCCCAAUAAUACCUUGCUUGGGUUUUUGGGUGGUUCUGAAGGUUUAUUUGCGCAGAAAACUCUAGAGAUCACCAAUGACGUUCUUGCUACCUAUAAGAAUCAAGGUGGAUAUGACAUGCUGGGACGGACAAAAGAUCAAAUUAGAACGACUGAGCAAGUAAAUUCUGCAAUGGCUGCAUGCAAAGCUUUGAAAUUGGAUGGCCUUGUCAUUAUUGGAGGAGUGACAUCAAACACUGACGCUGCUCAGCUGGCAGAAAAAUUUGCAGAAGCAAAAUGCCCUACAAAAGUGGUUGGUGUUCCUGUUACAUUAAAUGGGGAUCUCAAGAAUCAGUUUGUUGAAGCAAAUGUUGGCUUUGACACAAUAUGCAAGGUUAACUCCCAACUCAUUAGCAAUAUGUGCACUGAUGCACUCUCAGCAGAGAAGUAUUACUAUUUCAUCAGACUCAUGGGGCGAAAGGCAUCACAUGUUGCCUUAGAAUGCACUCUGCAGUCACAUCCUAAUAUGGUGAUUCUUGGUGAGGAGGUAGCUGCGUCGAAGCUAACUCUCUUUGACAUCACAAAACAAAUUUGUGAUGCAGUUCAGGCUAGGGCUGAACAUGGUAUUGAAACUACUAUGUCCUCAUUUGUCUGUAGAGUCAGUUUUUGAGUUUUGCAGUCAGCUGAUUAAGGAAAUUCAUGGUUUACUCAGGCAAGGUGUUUCUGCUGAUAAGAUUUCCUCCCAACUAUCACCAUGGGCUUCUGCACUUUUCGAGUUCUUGCCGUAUUUUAUCAGAAAGCAGCUUCUCCUGCACCCAGAAUCAGAUGACUCUGCUCAGCUAUCACAGAUUGAGACUGAGAAACUUAUAGCUCAUCUCGUUGAAACAGAAAUGAACAAGCGAUUGAAAGAAGGAACUUACAAAGGAAAGAAAUUUAAUGCUAUUUGCCAUUUCUUUGGUUAUCAAGCAAGGGGUUCAUUGCCAUCAAAAUUUGAUUGUGACUAUGCCUAUGUACUUGGCCAUGUUUGCUACCAUAUUUUGGCUGCUGGUCUUAAUGGUUACAUGGCUACUGUGACCAACUUGAAAAAUCCGGUCAACAAGUGGCACUGUGGUGCUGCUCCCAUAUCUGCCAUGAUGACUGUUAAGCGCUAUGGUCGUGGCCCCGGCAAAGCAUCAAUUGGAGUACCUGCUUUGCAUCCUGCUACUGUAGAUUUGAAAGGCAAAUCAUACGAGCUGUUGAGUCAAAAUGCGACAAAGUUCUUGUUGGAUGAUGUUUACAGAAACCCAGGUCCCCUCCAGUUUGAUGGCCCUGGUGCAGAUGCCAAGGCCGUUACUCUUUGUGUUGAAGACCAGGAUUACAUGGGUCGUAUCAAAAAAUUGCAGGAGUACCUGGACAAGGUGCGCACAAUUGUGAAGCCUGGAUGCUCACAAGACGUCCUGAAAGCUGCAUUAAGUGCCAUGGCUUCUGUGACCGACAUUCUUUCAGUGAUAUCCUCACCCUCAAGUGGGAGCACACCAUUUUAAAUGAGAACUAUCAUCUUUUAACAUUGAGAUUGCUUUGCUUUUCUUUUAUUCCCCUCCAAGGUUCUCUUCUUGAAUUCAGGGGAAACUUGACUUAGAUGCAGAGCAGUUAGUUGAUUGUGUGAUAAUAUCGGUUUCCAUC